AAGAGUAAUGCACAGUCACAGUUUGCAAAUGUAUGAGUGAUGAGAUCGUAAUGCUUUUUGACGUCGCUAUGUGAUAUCCGAAAUUUUUCACUUGAAAGAUAAAUAGGAGGGAAUUGUGGUGGGGGAGGAGGGCACGUACAUUACUGAACGGUUCUGCCGCUUGUAAUACUUCCAAUUUUUAAAAAAAUUUCAGAUCGGUGGUUGCACUGGAGACGCGGCGUGCUCUCAGCCUCGUGUCUUCUACGGUGCCGUUCAGGAACUAACAAGGACCGUCUCCUGGCGCAAUUCGAUAAGUUGAUGGGUGAUUGCGCACGUGCUCGUAGGUGCGUCUUCUGCCUGUGUCAAAUCUGUGGGAACUACUGCCUGCCUCGUAACUUCAAGAGCACUGUUCACGGACCAUGACUGUACUGCGUGUAUGCUUGCUGAAGUUGGCGCCACUGGUUUUGGCACGACUCGAUGAAAAGUUUCAGAUGGGUGAUUGCGCACGUGCACGUAGGCGCGUCUUCUGCCUGUGUCAAAUCUGUGGGAACUACUGCCUGCCUCGUAACUUCAAGGGCACCGUUCACGGACCAUGACUAUACUGCGUAUAUGCUUGCUGAAGUUGGCGCCACUGGUUUCGGCACGACUCGAUGAAUGGGUUAGUGAACUCGGUUUUCAUCUGUUGUUUCUGCAACUAGAGUAGGGGCUAAUAUAUACGAUAUAUAUUGUAAUUUGAGGGCGGGAGGAAGGGUGUACUUUAUUUAUUUAUCUUUCCUUUCCUGAUUAUGGAAAUCUAUAUUUGGUUUUGAAACGGUUGCCUUUAUCUUGGGCAUUACGGCCUCGCGUACAAACCUCUUCUGCUUCGUAACGUCUUACACGUAGCUUUAGGUCAGCUUAAGUCCUUUUUAUCGGGAUUGCCCAGGGCCUUGGAAGCCUAAGGGUAAUAUUCUAACUCAGUUGCUCAGUCAGAUAUGUCGGAUUUCCCCUCUCUAUUUUUUCUGUAAUGCCUGACUUCGGUUGAACCACCCAGCUCUUGGGGAUCAAAAUUUGGGUGCAGAAAAAUGAUGUGGGUGGUGUUUGACACGCCUGUAGGGCUCUUUGCCGCUUCGAGAGCCCUUGUGAGCCGCCUGAUCUCUCACUAGGAGGUCGAGCACCUGCGCGUCCUGUACGUUUCUCUGCACUCUCUCUCUCUCUUUAAAUUACAUUCCAUAGAAGGUACCUAUUUUAAAACUUUUGAGUCACAUAAACUUAAUUCAUGGGGGAUCUUUUUUUGUUUUUGUUUUUAUCAUAUCAAAAUACAUCUCACAUGUUUAGUGUUGUCGACCUACACAUUUAUUUUACUAUUGUAUGUCGGGCAGAAGCAGAAGAGUAAUGCAAAGUCACAGUUUGGAAAUGUGUGAGUGAUGAGAUCGUAAUGUUUUUUGACGUCGGUAUGUGGUUCCCGAAAUUUUUCACUCGCAAGAUAAAAAGGAGGGAAUUGUGGUGGGGGAGGGGGGCACGUACAUUACUGAACGGUUCUGCCGCUUGUGAUACUUCCAAAUUCUUUAAAAUUUUCAGAUCGGUGGUUGCACCGGAGACGCGGCGUGCUCUCAGCCUCGUGUCCUCUACGGUGCCGUUCAGGAACUAACAAGGACCGUCUCCUGGCGCCAUUCGAUAAGUUGAUGGGUGAUUGCGCACGUGCACGUAGGUGCGGCCUCUGCCUGUGUCAAAGCUGUGGGAACUACUGCCUGCCUCGUAACUUCAAGGGCACCGUUCAUGGACCAUGACUAUACUGCGUGUAUGCUUGCUGAAGUUGGCGCCACUGGUUUCGGCACGACUCGAUGAGGGACAGGAAACUACUUCUGUUCGAUGAAGGUUUUCAUUAAAAGUUCGAAUUUUGACAUGCUGUCAUGUAAAAAUGAACGUUUCAGUGAUACUAGAUAAUCUAGGGGUACUUCAGCCCAAAGGAGGGUGUGGUACGAUUCCUAAUGUGUGGUUUUAGUGUUACUCCAUUUACAAUCCUGUGACAUGAAUCCUUUUUUACGAUAUACAAAACCAUUUUGUCUUUUUCACGUUUUUUCGCCAAUACAUGCCCCAUAGCACCAAAACAGUACAAGAUAGAGCAAAACGAACGAACUUUUCGUCAGUAGGGUUCUACUUUCACGAGUUACCCCUUAGGCAGGGAUUGAAAACGAAAUUAAAUUAAAUUUUAAAAGGUCGAAAUUAUGCUAUUUUGUAUGGUAUAAAAUUAUUCUCGAAAUGAAAUUAAACCGUAAAAUUAAUCAUUAAAUUAAAUAAUAUAAUUUCCAUUCUUGCGGUGGGAGAUUUAAUUUCACUCCAAUUUCAUUUCAUUUCCUCGAAACGAAAUAAUUUAAUUUCUAUUCUUCCCGUGGUACAUUUAAUUUCGAUUCGAAUAUAAUUUCAUUACACGAAAUUAUUCAUUUUACUAUUUAAUUUAAGUACACGAAUGCAGAUAGGCAGCCUCUCAAAUGAAGUGAUGUGAAAGGGACGGCGAGGUAUGCCACAUAUCGAGCUUAUCGGGCUCGCGCAUUGCCUACCUCUCA